rnacentral:rRNA from 1 species
GAGAUACGCUAGUUUUAAGGACUAAGCCAUGCAAGCGCGUUCAGGAAGCGAAACGGCGGACGGCUCAGUAGGACGACCCUGAUACAGCCGUUGUUUUAGAUAACUGUGGGAAUGCCAGGGCUAAGCACACGAGUCUUUGGUGUGUGGGUUGAGUCUGCGAGUCGUUCUUUUGAGGGCUUGUCGGCGGCCUGCAGACUAUGGGUCAAUUAAGGUGGCGAGCGUGAGGCGGGACCGGUCUGCGGAGUGGGGGUUGGGCCAUCAGCUGUAUCCAAGGGUCAGUUCCUUGGAUGGCGACGACGGCCACGGGGGAUGAACGUUUAGUUCCGGAGAGGGAGCCUGAGAGACGGCUACCAGGUCCAUGGACAGCAGCAGGCGCGCAACUUGCCCACUUGGAGAAGAGGCAGCGACGAGGGGUUCCACGUUGUGGAGAGAACGCAGAGGUUGAGCUGCGUGAGAGCAACACGAGGGCAAGUCUGGUGCCAGCCGCCGCGGUAAUUCCAGCUCGGGGAGAGUAUGCCAAGGAUGUUGCGGUUAAGAGGCCCGCGGUUUUGUCGGGACAGGGAAAGGGGCGACUCACAAGGCGCGCAGACAGUUCCGUUGCGUGAGUGGUGUUUGUUUCAUUCAUCGCUCGCGAUUUGUUGAUAGGACGGAGUUGGGUGUGUGGCACCGGCGCGGGAGGGGUGAAAACCGGAGAGCGCGGUGGGGCUAGGCGAGGCGAAGGCGGCACACCGGCGUCGGUCUGGUGACCAUGGGGGAAGGCCGGGGGAGCGAAGAUGAUCAGAUACCGUUGUAGUCCCGGCGGCAAACAGCCAUUGGCCUGCGGAGGUGUGUGAGUCUGUCUGUGUUCAGCAGCAGUUGAGCACGUUCGCGGGCCAGUUUAAAGAGAAUGGUUCUGGGGGGAGUACUGUCGCAAGGCUGGAACUUGAAGGAAUUGACGGAUGGGCACACCAGGGGUGGAGCCUGCGGCUUAAUUUGACUCAACACGGGGAAGCUUACCGGGCGCGAGCUCAGGGAGGAUCUUUUUGAGAUUCUGAGCGUGGCGGUGCAUGGCCGUUCUUGCAUGUGAAGUGAUUUGCGCGGUUGACUCCGUAAACAUGCGAGGCCCUUUGGUCGUGCUUGUUUUAUUCAAGUGCGUCUCUCUGUAGACGUCGGCGACGCUCUGUGAGAACGGAGGGAAGAGAGGGCAACAACAGGUCCGUGAUGCCCCUAGAUGGCGCGGGCCGCACGCGGGCUACAGUGGUGGUUUUAGAAGGGGAGUUUCAAUGAGGAGCCCUCUGGCGGGAUUGUUGAUUUUGAGGUUGACAUGAACACGGAAUCCCUAGUAGGCGCGUCUGAGGAUGUCGCGCCGACUGCGUCCCUGCCCGUUGUACACACCGCCCGUCGAUACUACCGGUUUGUUUUAGCGCGAGCUUCUGCGAGUGUUCAGAUGACGAGGAAGUAAAAGUCGUAACAAGGUUUCC